ACGUAGGGGGCCAGCGUUGUUCGGAAUUACUGGGUGUAAAGGGUUCGUAGGCGGUGCGGCAAGUUGGGAGUGAAAUCUCUGGGCUUAGCCCAGAGGCUGCUUCCAAAACUGCUGUGCUUGAGUGUGGGAGAGGCGCGUGGAAUUGCAGGUGUAGCGGUGAAAUGCGUAGAUAUCUGCAGGAACACCCGUGGCGAAAGCGGCGCGCUGGACCACUACUGACGCUGAGGAACGAAAGCUAGGGGAGCAAACAGGA
rnacentral:rRNA from 1 species